GAUGAAGAACGUAGCGAAAUGCGAUACUUGGUGUGAAUUGCAGAAUCCCGUGAACCAUCGAGUCUUUGAACGCAAGUUGCACCCGAAGCCAUUAGGCCGAGGGCACGCCUGCCUGGGCGUCACACGUCGUUGCCCCCCCAUCUACUCCUUCGGGAUUGCGGGGGGCGGAUGAUGGCCUCCCGUGCGCCUCGCCGCGCGGUUGGCAUAAAUGCCAAGUCCUCGGCGACGCACGCCACGACAAUCGGUGGUUGCGAAACCUCGGUUGCCCGUCGUGUGCGGUCGUCGCGCAUCGAGGGCUCGAAAAAAUUGCCGAGUUCCGGCUCGGCUUUCAACGCGACCCCAGGUCAGGCGGGGUUACCCGCUGAAUUUAAGCAUAUCAAUAAGCGGAGGA
rnacentral:misc_RNA from 1 species